AUUGAACGCUGGCGGCAGGCCUAACACAUGCAAGUCGAACGAGCGGCGGACGGGUGAGUAAUGUCUGGGAAACUGCCCGAAGGAGGGGGAUAACUACAGGAAACGGUAGCUAAUACCGCAUACAAUCAGAGGUGCCCAGAUGUGAGUAGCUAGUAGGUGGGGUAACGGCUCACCAAGGAGACGAUCCCUAGCUGGUCUGAGAGGAUGACCAGCCACACGGGAACUGAGACACGGUCCAGCCUCCUACGGUAGGCAGCAGGGGGGAAUAUUGCACAAUGGGCGCAAGCCUGAUGCAGCCAUGCCGCGUGUAUGAAGAAGGCCUUCGGGUUGUAAAGUACUUUCAGCGGGGAGGCGUGACCCGCAGAAGAAGCACCGGCUAACUCCGUGCCAGCAGCCGCGGUAAUUC
rnacentral:rRNA from 1 species